AGACGUCUACAUUAGAUACCCGCGUAGUCCCAGCCGUAAACUAUGCGCGUUAGGUGUAUCGGUGACCACGAGUUACCGAGGUGCCGAAGGGAAACCGUGAAACGUGCCGCCCGGGAAGUACGGUCGCAAGGCUGAAACUUAAAGGAAUUGGCGGGGAGCACCACAACAGGUGGAGCCUGCGGUUUAAUUGGACUCAACGCCGGGAAGCUCACCGGAUAGGACAGCAGAAUGAUUGCCGGGCUGAAGACCCUGCAUGACCAGCUG
rnacentral:rRNA from 1 species